rnacentral:rRNA from 1 species
AACGAACGCUGGCGGCGUGCUUAACACAUGCAAGUCGAGCGAGAGAAAUUCCUUCGGGAAGGACUCUAGCGGCGGACGGGUGAGUAACACGUGGGUAACUUGCCUCAUAGAGGGGAAUAGCCUUUCGAAAGGAAGAUUAAUACCGCAUAAGAUUGUAGUAUCGCAUGAUGCAGCAAUUAAAGGAGUAAUCCGCUAUGAGAUGGACCCGCGUCGCAUUAGCUAGUUGGUGAGGUAACGGCUCACCAAGGCGACGAUGCGUAGCCGACCUGAGAGGGUGAUCGGCCACAUUGGGACUGAGACACGGCCCAGACUCCUACGGGAGGCAGCAGUGGGGAAUAUUGCACAAUGGGGGAAACCCUGAUGCAGCAACGCCGCGUGAGUGAUGACGGUCUUCGGAUUGUAAAACUCUGUCUUCAGGGACGAUAAUGACGGUACCUGAGGAGGAAGCCACGGCUAACUACGUGCCAGCCGCCGCAGUAA